rnacentral:lncRNA from 1 species
GAUGAUGCAGGAUAACCAGCAGCACAGGUGGAGGAGGUCUGUAAGGCCCUGGGCCACACCCCUGCCUUCCUCUCCCCGACCAAGUAUUUAGAAGGAAGAGCUACCAGCAGCUCUGACCUGGGCGGACUUUCAAGGAAGAUGCAGCCACUCCUGCUCUUGUUGGCCUUUCUUCUGCCCCCUGAGCCUGCAACAGUUCAAUCAGGGUGAUUCUGGGGGCCCACGACAUCCUGAAUCAAGAGAGAACCUGGCAGGUCAUCCCUGUGAAAGAAGCCAUCUGCCACCCAGACUAUAUUCCUAGUGAAUACUUCAAUGACAUCAUGAUACUAAAGGAGGUGGAGCUGACUGUGCAGCAGGAACAGGUGUGCGAAUCCUUCUUACAUGAUCAUUACAACUGUACCACUCUGCUGUGUG